rnacentral:snRNA from 1 species
GUCUCUUCAGAGACAUUCGAUAAAAUUGGAGCGAUAUAGAGAAUAUUAUUAGCAUGGCCCCUACGCAAGGAUAACAUGUACAAAUCAAGAAAUGGUCCAAAAAAAUAUUUUU